UACGUAGGUGGCAAGCGUUGUCCGGAAUUAUUGGGCGUAAAGCGCGCGCAGGCGGCUUCUUAAGUCUGAUGUGAAAGCCCACGGCUCAACCGUGGAGGGUCAUUGGAAACUGGGGAGCUUGAGUGCAGAAGAGGAGAGUGGAAUUCCAUGUGUAGCGGUGAAAUGCGUAGAUAUAUGGAGGAACACCAGUGGCGAAGGCGACCCCCUGGGCCAAUACUGACGCUGAGGUACGAAAGCGUGGGUAGCGAACAGG
rnacentral:rRNA from 1 species